UGGUAUUUAUGGGCGGUUUUGUGGCGUUAAUGGCGUGCAGUGUCUUCUGUCCUGGUUAGUGUGUCCAUGCUGCGAGAGAUUCUAGAGAGAGAAUGUCAGGAUAAUGGUGCGAGAGUGGGUGAUGAUUUUCCUUAGUUUAUGCAGAGCAAACAGAGCUACAGAGAGAGAGGAAGCUAGAGAGGGAGAGAGAGAGCAGAGGUAGACAAGAGAGAAAGAGAGAGAGAGCAGAGGUAGACGAGAGAAAGAGGAGGCAGACAAUAGAGUUGGAAUGGUUUUAGAGAGAGAUUUUAUUGAGACAGGGGACCAAGAA
rnacentral:lncRNA from 1 species